UGCAGAAUCCCGUGAACCAUCGAGUCUUUGAACGCAAGUUGCGCCCGAACCCGCUAGGCCGAGGGCACGCCUGCCUGGGCGUCA
rnacentral:rRNA from 1 species